GCUAUCUUCAUGACUUUAGGCAAAUGACAAGUUCAAGUACCAAUACCGGUUCAAGUUCGUGGACUUCAAGAGGAAAAGACAAACCAAGUUUGGACAGGCCACUUUGCUACUGUGGCA